rnacentral:lncRNA from 10 species
UAUACAUAUAAAAUAACAAAAAAAUAAAAUAUUGAGAUAUCAUCAAGAAAUUUCUACAGCUUCACAUUCAAACUCUUCAGCACUUUCAGAGCUAUUGAUAUGCAUAUGUCCACCUAGUACCAUCUUCUCUGCUUUCAGAAUUAUUGGUAAGGCUGCAUUUCCUGAGUGCUCUACCACACUUAUGUCUGGAUUUUUUUUACCCAGCUACAGACCCACACUCCUGCAAGAUUUGAUACCCUUCUAUUUGGCAAAACUCAGUUUCACUUUUCUUUCAGUUUAAUCACAGGUCCUUAGAAGAUCGGACCUGUGAUUCUAUUCAAAGUCAGAAAGAGAUUUCUCACAAAUUGACGUCAUAUUAACAUGUCAAUAUGAAAAUUAAUUGUUUGGUAAACCAGAAGUGACCUGUCUGAAGCCCUCAAUUGUGGUAUUUGUGUGUUUGUUUUUUCUUUUUCAAGAUUCUUUUUAAAGAAAAUAUAUGGUAGCUGUUGUUUAACAUUUAUCUACUUACAGAGCGUUCAGAGGAUGUUAUAUGUUUAUUAAGUGCUCAAUACUGUAUUUUAACCUAAUCUGAAUUUUAAUCAUAAUCCUGUACAAUGCAUGGAUUCUGGUUGCUUUGAAAUGGUUCUGUUCAAAGGACUUAUCAAUGUCUCUUGCUUUGAGAUGUAUUGCUUGGUGUGUAGUAGCACAAACGUACCACCAAUAAUGUACCUAAUUCAACUGAAGUGACAGUCAUAUACGCAGAUAUGACCAAGUUCACAUGUGAGCAAGUAACAACUCCAUGACUAUUGCUGCCUGGCUAAUAGCUAUUAUACUAUCAUUUGUAAGGCACAUUCUGUUUUCUGGGGUGUCGAAAUGUGGAUAAAAAAAGAUGAAUUAGGAAUGAUUCUAACCUAAGUAUGUGUUUUAAUAAAAGGAUCUAGGCAAAAAAAAAAAAAGUAAGUCACUCCUAAAUUUAAUCCCUGAAUAAUGCAGUGUACAUGAUGAUAGAGGAGAAGUGUGUUUUUGAUAAGAAGUGACUAAAUUUUGUGACAAUCUUAAUUUUUUAGGCUUUUCAUUUAGUCUUCCAAUAAAGAUAAUUUUUUUCUGAGUUUUAUCAGCAGUAGAAAAAUAAGACCUACAUGGAUAAGUUUGAAAUUAAACAUUUUGUCUCAUUUUAUAAUUUUUAUUUUUAUGAAAUCAUGGCACUUACAUCAUAUACUCAGGUGUGUAAAAGCCUGCUAUUUGUAACUAUAAUCCAUAAACUUAUUGAUGAUUUAAUAACUAUCAACAAGGGCAUGGGAAAAAUUCAACAUUUGAUAAUAAUCUUUUACCUUAGGCAUUUAUUCUCUAAGCAAAGCAGAAAUAAAGGAUAUGUAUCAGUGUAUACUGAUUGAAAUAAAGCUUUAAAAAUCCAAGUGAUACUCUGAAAUUGUCAAAAGUUUAAUGGCAUGAAUCCAGGAUUAAUUCCCAUAACCUGUGAUGAUCUAGUCAUCUUCUGUAGCUACAUAGUACUCCUAAUGUUAAGAUUACCAAAUUCAGCAAUAAAGCCAAAAUCAAAACUGCCUUCUGUCACAUAUAGCUGUUAAGUAAACUACACAAAAUCAGAGUUGCUGUUUACAUACAUCAUGAUGCCGUCUGGACUUGAGCACCUUGGCGGCUCAGGAUUAAGGCACCUCAGUCUAGCCUAGCAGAGUUACAAUGGAGAGAAGUGAAAACUCAUUAGUAGCUCAAAACAAGCUAAAGGAUUUCAGAUGCUCUUUUUCUUGUUCAUCUAAAUCAAGUCUUCAUCUGUGUCAAGAACUAAAUUGUUAAAGACCUUUUUAAUUUGCUUAGUGCAAGAAAAAUAAUAGCAACCAUAUAUCUAGUUAACUUGAGUCUUCUGUGCCUCUAAAAUUUUGUUUAGAGAAAGCCUAUUUCUAUUGAGGUUGAGGAACACAAUUCUAAUACUUAGUAAAAUUAUUAACAUUCAUUGCAUUUAACUUUGUCGUAUUUUCCUUCCUCCAAUACUAGUGUGCCAAAUUCUGUAACAUAGUAGCAUUUUUCAUGCUCCCAUUUAUCUGUAUAUACAGAAACUUCUGCUUAGGUUUUUUUUUAUAUAUAAAGAAAGUCUAGUCAUACCAGUUUGGUUGAAGAAUACUAAUUCUGUCCCUGGAAGAGCUGUCUACGUGAGCCACAACAAACCAAACUUGCCACAUCAUUCAAACUUGCCAAUUUGGCCGUAGUUUAGUAGAUGACAACUUUGGGUCAGGUUAAUAUUUGGGGAAAUGGAAUAAUAAAAGCUGCUGAUUUUCCUACUGUAUUGCUACUUGGAGGAUUGGAGGUGUAGAGGGAAGAUGCCUGUAAAUGAGUCACUGUUAUCACCUACCUGCACAUCAGCUUGAUUGUUGACACUUAUGUCUAAAGAUGUUCAUCCCAAGAGUAUUAUUGUGCAUGCAAGUAACUGAUUGAUACUAACGAGUUAACAUUUUAUUUUGGGCUGCUUGGACAAAAAGUCUUAUCUUUUUGAAGCCUCUGGCUGCAGGGAUCUCUUAGCCGUUGCACAUAUAAAUUUCAACCAUUCACACAGAGCAAUUCAUUUCUGAUUGCUGUAGACUAGUGCAAUCCAUCUGCUAGUGUCAUUUCCUAGCUAUCUGUGCCAGAAUUACACUCCUUCAAUUGUGCUUCAGUGCAUUUCUGAAACAAUCUAAACUAAAAUGUCUGUAUUCUUUGGCCACUGGCUUAUGAUGUGUUACUGAUAUGCUUGUUGAAUCUCCAGCCUCUUUAACACUUUUUAAAAUCUUUGUUACAACCAACACAUCAUAGCUAAGUAAUCUGCACAUGUAAAUGAUUUUUUUAAAUUUCUUUUCUUACCAGUAUCCACUGUUUUCUCUCUGUAGCACAUUCAGAUGGUUCAAGUGAGUUUUAAUUUACCACUUCCUUGUAGGAGAGUGUCACAUCGCCCAGAAUAGAAUUAAAGCAUUUACAUCUUGAGGCAAAAAAAUCUUUUAAAAUACAACUAUGUAGAAAUCAAGUAAGUGUUCAUUUCAUUUGCAGGUUUAGAAAUGUUGCACUGCUUAAUGAAGUUUUACGUGAGUGGUUUCUUACCUAUUAUUUUUAGCCUUGGGGUUUGAGAAAGUAAAUUAUGUCCAUCAAUUUUCUGUACUUUAGAGAAGUUUCAAAUAUUUCUAGAACUAGAAAACUUGGGACUACACAAAGAAAUAAUUAUGAUUAUAUCAGGUGGCCCAAGUGCAGAUUUUAAAUGUACAGGCACACUGACAAAGUCAUAAAUUAAAAAUGCACUAAUUAUAUAUCACUGGGAUCAAUCUUUAAUGAAUUGAAUAAGAAAGAUCACUUAUGACUGGUUAAAGUUGAUAGAGCUUCUAAUUAAGCAUUAUCCAGUCAAAUAAAGAGCUGUGUAUGGAAGCCAGCCUAUGAGGAAGGAAGGAAAAAGUUUUAGAGUAAUUCUUUUUUACUUGUUGCAACAGCUGAUUCUUCAAUACAAAAGAAAUAUUUACUUUGAUUUGCAUUUCUCUGAUGGCCAGUGAUGGUGAGCAUUUUUUCAUGUUUUUUUGGCUGCAUAAAUGUCUUCUUUUGAGAAGUGUCUGUUCAUGUCCUUCGCCCACUUUUUGAUGGGGUUGUUUGUUUUUUUCUUGUAAAUUUGUUUGAGUUCAUUGUAGAUUCUGGAUAUUAGCCCUUCGUCAGAUGAGUAGGUUGCGAAAAUUUUCUCCCAUUUUGUAGGUUGCCUGUUCACUCUGAUGGUAGUUUCUUUUGCUGUGCAGAAGCUCUUUAAUUAGAUCCCAUUUGUCAAUUUUGGCUUUUGUUGCCAUUGCUUUUGGUGUUUUAGACAUGAAGUCCUUGCCCAUGCCUAUGUCCUGAAUGGUAAUGCCUAGGUUUUCUUCUAGGGUUUUUAUGGUUUUAGGUCUAGCGUUUAAGUCUUUAGUCCAUCUUGAAUUAAUUUUUGUAUAAGGUGUAAGGAAGGGAUCCAGUUUCAGCUUUCUACAUGUGGCUAGCCAGUUAGAGGAUGUGGAGAAAUAGGAACACUUUUACACCGUUGGUGGGACUGUAAACUAAUUCAACCAUUGUGGAAGUCAGUGUGGCAAUUCCUCAGGGAUCUAGAACUAGAAAUACCAUUUGACCCAGCCAUCCCAUUACUGGGUAUAUACCCAAAGGACUAUAAAUCAUGCUGCUAUAAAGACACAUGCACACGUACGUUUAUUGGGGCUCUAUUCACAAUAGCAAAGACUUGGAACCAACCCAAAUGUCCAACAAUGAUAGGCUGGAUUAAGAAAAUGUGGCACAUAUACACCAUGGAAUACUAUGCAGCCAUAAAAAAUGAUGAGUUCACGUCCUUUGUAGGGACAUGGAUGAAAUUGGAAAUCAUCAUUCUCAGUAAACUAUCACAAGAACAAAAAACCAAACACUGCAUAUUCUCACUCAUAGGUGGGAACUGAACAAUGAGAACACAUGGACACAGGAAGGGGAACAUCACACUCUGGGGACUGUUGUGGGGUGGGGGGAGGGGGGAGGGUUAGCAUUAGGAGAUAUACCUAAUGCUAAAUGACGAGUUAAUGGGUAAAGCACACCAGCAUGGCACAUGUAUACAUAUGUAACUAACCUGCACGUUGUGCACAUGUACCCUAAAACUUAAAGUAUAAUAAUAAUAAAAUAAAAAAAUUAAAUAUUUACCAUGAGUUCAGUGAGAAGAAGCAAUUUACAAAAUUAGCCAUGUUUCUAGUGUCUUUGAGUAUGUAUCUCUAAGACUACAAACGUGCUGGAAUUUUCCAUAACAUAAAAAUAAACAAAAACAAAAAACAAUACUUCUCUUAGCCAUAUUAUUUCAUCAGGAAUAGUCAGCCUAGUUUCAUCUACAAUGAAACCGAAGUUUUACUAGCCAUCAUACCCAACACUGAAUUCUAGAUUCAGAUAUGUACCUCCCUGCUUCGUAUCCCUCCCUUACUGGAAAAAAAUACAUAGGCAUCUCUAUUUGGAGAGCUCUAAUCUUCUAUCAAUUAAGGUAAUCUUUUUCAUCUAGAUAAAUGACACAGCCAUUCACCAAAUUGCUCAAGGAACAAACCAGGAAAUUUUCCAUGACUCUUCAGGUACUUCCCCUCAUCCUUUUCAUCCUGUUUUCAACAAGUGAAGUCUAUGUAUGAAAAACACAACCAAAAUCCAUCAACCUCUCUCAACUUGUUGAGCUACCACUGUUUUCUAGACUAAUGGAAUAGUUUUUUUUUUUUUUUUACAUCCCACAAUGCCUUAUUGUGUGCAGUAAUAACAAUGAUCUGACUUUUAUAAUUGCACAUGAACGCAAAGUUGCAGAAAGCCUGCAAAGGAAAGAUUUAGAAGAUUGGCAUUGGGGUGUAUGAGGCAUUGAAAGAAAAAGGAAUACUGUGGCCAUCUCAACCUUACUUCACUAAUUUGGUACUGUUUUUGUAUCCCAUUUUGCUCCCCUGAAGACUACCUUUUAGGACAAAGAUUCAUACUACUUUCUAACAUUCUACACUUUAUUUUCUCCAUGAAGUUUUGCCUGGUGAUAGUCUGCAAUCUCUUUACCACCCACAUUGUUGUUUUUUACCUUUUUCAUAUUUGCUAUGUGUAAUCAGAUGUCAGCUGGAAAUCUGCUUUCCCUUUAGAUGUAGGCAACAUUAGUUGAGCCUCUAUUCUAAACCCCAGAGAUGAUGUCAAAAACUUCUCUCAAAUAUCUGUGAAAUUCCUGAAGAUCAUAUAUCUCCAUAAUUGCUUUGGACUGUAAGCUUCCAUUUCUGGUGAGUUAGUUCUGUUUGGGCUUGCAUGUGAUUUUCUCACAAUUCUAUGAGCUGAGCGCCUAUUUUUCACUAUGUGAGUCUCAAACUUUUCCUCUUUCCUGCAAUUAGGGCAUCACCAUAUCCUCUCCAGAAAAAGGCCUUCUCACACAAAUUUUGUGUGUAGCAAAUUUCUCUGAAUCAUUGGAGCUAGGGAGGAAGUUGCUGGAAGGAAAGAGAAGGAUACAUAUCAGAGCACAGCAUUAAGUAAUAAUUGUUCUUAGAAAUCCUUUGGCAUCUUCAUCUCCAAGACUUUCUUCACUAGCUAUUUUUUUUAUAAUCCAAAAUUAUGUCUAACUUUUUUUCUCUUCCUCAGACCAACUUCUUCCAUCCCCUUACGAGAUAUGCACACGUUGUUUACAUUGUAGACAUAUAGCAUUUAUCUCUUCUUUCUCUUGUGUCAUUAGUUUUCUUCCUUCAAUGAAUUAUUCUCAUCAGUACACUAAUAUUCUGUGAUUUUUCCAGUUUAAAAAAAAAAAACCCUUCACUACACUUCCUUCAGGUAUUACUUUAUUUCCUUGUUCCUUUUACACUAAAAUUUUUAGAAUACAUUGUCUGUUUUUCCAUUCUUCAGUUCCCGUCUUCCUAUUUACUCUUCAACCCAAUUCAGGCUUUUAGCACCCCUCUCCAUUACCACUACUCCAUUAAACUUGUUCUGAAGAUUUCCAGUGCUCUCGACUUUGCUAAAUCCAGGGGUCAUUCUUGGUCUCAUCUUCUUGCCCUUUAAACAGCAUUUAUCUCAAUUGAUUACUUCUUUGACUUGCAUUCUUUACCUGGAUGCAAGGAACCCCACAUUACUGGUUCUUUUUCUAACUUUCUGGUCACACUUUUUAAGUCUCUUUAACUGAUUUCUCCUCAUCUUCCUCACCUCAUAUCACUAGAAGGUCACAGAUAUUUGUAUUUGAAUUUCUCUAUCCACAUUCACUCCUUUGGAAUACCAUCCAUUUUCAUAGCAUCUAUGUGUUAUCAAUUCUCAAAUCUGUAUUUCUCAUUAUCAAAAUGUAACUCUCAAAUUGUUAAAAUAUGAAUCCAUAAAUUGUGAACAUGGGUCAGAAUUUAAUCAGUGAGGAAGCCAGCAGGAUUAUGAAGUUGAUUUUUAUAUUGUUCCAGAUGCUACAAGGAAGAAAAUUUAUAUACAACAUUAUAAAGAAUUUUUUCCAAUAACAGAGUACAUUUUCUUAUGAGAUAAUAGGCUUAAAAGACAAUUUAGCAAGAGUUUUCUCAAGAAGUUCUUAUUUUAGAUAAGAGGUAGGAUUGAGGCAGGAAAAUAGGGCCUGGAGGCAGGGAACGUAAGGCCAAUUCACACUUAAGCUAUGACAGGAAAUAUCCUUUUCAUAGGGUGUAUGCAGAGUAAAUAACUUUGUAACUUUACUUCUUCCUCUCCAUUUACAUAUGGCAUACACCAAGUAACCAGUGGAAAUCUCUAGAGGGUAUUUAAACCCCCACAAAUUCUGUAACGGUGUCCUUGAGCCCCUAUGCUCAGGCCCAUUCCCACACUGUAGAGUGUACUUUCAUUUUGAAUAAAGUUCUUCAUUCUUUCUUUGCUUUGUGUGUUU